rnacentral:lncRNA from 1 species
UCUUAGAUUAAAGUUAAAAUAUUCAAUAAUUAAUCGUUUUUAGAAUACCAUUUCAUAUAACAUCAAUAAUUGUAGUUAAUAUGUAAUUAUUUUAAUAAUAAUAAUUGUAAUAGGGCCCAAUUGACCCAAGUUCAAACAAAUUAACAGCCCAACAAAUACAGGCCCGCAUAGGCCCAAUACACCAAAAACAAAAACAAAAAGAAAAGAACCCUAGUCCAGCAACUAAAACCCUAAGCAGCCUUGCAUAUGCGCCGCUCCCACAGCCCCCAACUGCCGCAAGUCUCGGCCUCCAUGCGCACGUUUCGGCCUCCCCACGUCGCUCCACGCACGACACCUGCAACCAAAACAAACUCAAAGAGUCCAGAUAAUGUAAAGCAACGAGAAACAAGCAAAAUAUUUUAUUUUCUUUUCGGCCUAUAAAAGGCCAUUUAAUCUGUAAAUAAGGGUGAUCGAAAUCAAGAGAAAGCAGAGUAAAUAUCAGUUUUUUUUAGGUGAUUAUUUGAAGUUUCUUAGUUUUUUUUUAUAUUAUUUUAUUUUGUGCUUUUGUGUGUACGAAAAUAAAAGAAAAAGGGAAAGGGAUUGGCUUACCCUUGUCGUCGAAUUGGCUCAGGGGCGAUUAAAAGCCCGUCGUAUCACCUUUCCGAUCACCGUUCUUGGUGAAAUCGCGGAGGGAAAGAACACAUUGCGGCGGCGGUGCGAGGAUGCUAGGGAAAAAACCCUAGCAGAGCACCAAAAUAGUUUUUUUUAGUUUUUUUAGUUUUUUCCUUUCAUUC